AGAAUCAACGCUGGCGGCGUGCCUAACACAUGCAAGUCGAACGAGAAAGUGGAGCAAUCCAUGAGUAAAGUGGCGCACGGGUGAGUAACACGUGACUAACCUACCCUUGAGUGGGGGAUAACCUAGAGAAAUCUGGGCUAAUACCGCAUAAUACCUUCGGGUCAAAGGAGCAAUUCGCUUAAGGAGGGGGUCGCGGCCGAUUAGUUAGUUGGCGGGGUAAUGGCCCACCAAGACUAUGAUCGGUAUCCGGCCUGAGAGGGCGCACGGACACACUGGAACUGAAACACGGCCCAGACUCCUACGGGAGGCAGCAGUGGGGAAUUUUGCGCAAUGGGGGAAACCCUGACGCAGCAACGCCGCGUGGAGGAUGAAGUCCCUUGGGACGUAAACUCCUUUCGAUCGGGACGAUUAUGACGGUACCGAGAGAAGAAGCCCCGGCUAACUUCGCGCCAGCAGCCGC
rnacentral:rRNA from 1 species